GACGAACGCUGGCGGCGUGCUUAACACAUGCAAGUCGAACGGUGAAGCGCCUUCCUUUUUGGUGGGUGUGGAUGAGUGGCGAACGGGUGAGUAACACGUGAGUAACCUGCCCCCUUCUUCUGGAUAACCGCAUGAAAGUGUGGCUAAUACGGGAUAUUCUGGGUCUGUCGCAUGAUGGGUCUGGGAAAGAUAUUGUUUCGGUGGGGGAUGGGCUCGCGGCCUAUCAGCUUGUUGGUGGGGUGAUGGCCUACCAAGGCGGUGACGGGUAGCCGGCCUGAGAGGGUGGAGGGUCACACUGGGACUGAGACACGGCACAGACUCAUACGGGAGGCAGCAGUGGGGAAUAUUGCACAAUGGGAGCAAGCCUGAUGCAGCGGCGCCGCGUGAGGGAUGGAGGCCUGCGGGUUGUGAACCUCUUUCGCCAGUGAAGCAGGCCUGCCUCGUUUGUGGGUGGGUUGACGGUAGCUGGAUAAGAAGCGCCGGCUAAAUACGUG
rnacentral:rRNA from 1 species